rnacentral:rRNA from 1 species
GACGAACGCUGGCGGCGUGCUUAACACAUGCAAGUCGAGCGGAGCGGCGAACGGGUGAGUAACGCGUGAGUAACUGCCCCCCUCUAUGGGAUAACAGUUGGAAACGGCUGCUAAUACCGGAUAGUGGGGGAUGACUCGCGUCCUAUCCGCUUGUUGGUGGGGUAGGGGCCUACCAAGGCGACGACGGGUAGCCGGCCUGGGAGGGCGACCGGCCAAAGUGGGCUGAGGGACGGCCCAAAGUCCUACGGGAGGGAGGAGAGGGGAAUACUGCACAAUGGGGGAAACCCUGAAGCAGGAACGCGCGUGCGGAAUAACGGCCUUGGGGUUGUAAACCGCUUGCAGCCAUGACGCGGUAGUGGCAGAAGAAGCACCGGCUAACUACGUGCCAGCAGCCGCGGUAAUAC